rnacentral:rRNA from 1 species
UACGUAGGGUGCGAGCGUUAAUCGGAAUUACUGGGCGUAAAGCGUGCGCAGGCGGUUCCGCAAGUCAGAUGUGAAAUCCCCGGGCUCAACCUGGGAACUGCAUUUGAAACUACGGGGCUAGAGUGUGUCAGAGGGGGGUGGAAUUCCACGUGUAGCAGUGAAAUGCGUAGAGAUGUGGAGGAACACCAAUGGCGAAGGCAGCCCCCUGGGAUGACACUGACGCUCAUGCACGAAAGCGUGGGGAGCAAACAGG